GUAGCACGGUACGCGCGGGUUAUGCGCCAUUGAUGGAGGUGCAAACAACCCGCAGCGCCUCCUUUCACCUUGCUGGAAAGAUCCGGAACACUCUGCAAUGACAUGCAACUCUGGGGAAUCAGUGUGAUGCAGGUGAAGACCUGUCUUUGCUAGAUAUCCCAAGGAGGACAAAAAAUGGUCUAAAAGUGCAAAGAGGGAUGCUGAAGAGUCGACAUAAUGGGUGACAGAGGGGCUGAUGUGCUGUGAAACUUGGUGUGAUGUCACACGUCAAGACUCAUUGCAGAUUUGCUUGGAAAAUCAGGGGAUGUGGCAGAGAAUGAGACGAUGUCACCUACUUGAAGAUGGAAAAAUGUG